CCCCCUUGCCAAUCGGCAAAGGGACACCUUGUUGGUGGAGUUGUUCUUAUUUCAGUCAGGGGCAGAGCAGAUAGCAGACCUUUGUUCAUCCCAGUUUGAUGCCUGGCUUGGUGGCCAAAGCUAUUUUAUGCCUAGGACUCAUAA